rnacentral:rRNA from 1 species
GAUGAACGCUGGCGGCGUGCCUAAUACAUGCAAGUCGAGCGAACGGACGAGAAGCUUGCUUCUCUGAUGUUAGCGGCGGACAGGUGAGUAACACGUGGAUAACCUACCUAUAAGACUGGGAUAACUUCGGGAAACCGGAGCUAAUACCGGAUAAUAUUUUGAACCGCAUGGUUCAAAAGUGAAAGACGGUCUUGCUGUCACUUAUAGAUGGAUCCGCGCUGCAUUAGCUAGUUGGUAAGGUAACGGCUUACCAAGGCAACGAUGCAUAGCCGACCUGAGAGGGUGAUCGGCCACACUGGAACUGAGACACGGUCCAGACUCCUACGGGAGGCAGCAGUAGGGAAUCUUCCGCAAUGGGCGAAAGCCUGACGGAGCAACGCCGCGUGAGUGAUGAAGGUCUUCGGAUCGUAAAACUCUGUUAUUAGGGAAGAACAUAUGUGUAAGUAACUGUGCACAUCUUGACGGUACCUAAUCAGAAAGCCACGGCUAACUACGUGCCAGCAGCCGCGGUAAUACGUAGGUGGCAAGCGUUAUCCGGAAUUAUUGGGCGUAAAGCGCGCGUAGGCGGUUUUUUAAGUCUGAUGUGAAAGCCCACGGCUCAACCGUGGAGGGUCAUUGGAAACUGGAAAACUUGAGUGCAGAAGAGGAAAGUGGAAUUCCAUGUGUAGCGGUGAAAUGCGCAGAGAUAUGGAGGAACACCAGUGGCGAAGGCGACUUUCUGGUCUGUAACUGACGCUGAUGUGCGAAAGCGUGGGGAUCAAACAGGAUUAGAUACCCUGGUAGUCCACGCCGUAAACGAUGAGUGCUAAGUGUUAGGGGGUUUCCGCCCCUUAGUGCUGCAGCUAACGCAUUAAGCACUCCGCCUGGGGAGUACGACCGCAAGGUUGAAACUCAAAGGAAUUGACGGGGACCCGCACAAGCGGUGGAGCAUGUGGUUUAAUUCGAAGCAACGCGAAGAACCUUACCAAAUCUUGACAUCCUUUGACAACUCUAGAGAUAGAGCCUUCCCCUUCGGGGGGGGCAAAGUGACAGGUGGUGCAUGGUUGUCGUCAGCUCGUGUCGUGAGAUGUUGGGUUAAGUCCCGCAACGAGCGCAACCCUUAAGCUUAGUUGCCAUCAUUAAGUUGGGCACUCUAAGUUGACUGCCGGUGACAAACCGGAGGAAGGUGGGGAUGACGUCAAAUCAUCAUGCCCCUUAUGAUUUGGGCUACACACGUGCUACAAUGGACAAUACAAAGGGCAGCGAAACCGCGAGGUCAAGCAAAUCCCAUAAAGUUGUUCUCAGUUCGGAUUGUAGUCUGCAACUCGACUACAUGAAGCUGGAAUCGCUAGUAAUCGUAGAUCAGCAUGCUACGGUGAAUACGUUCCCGGGUCU